rnacentral:tRNA from 1 species
GCCCUGUUCGCCUAGCGGUUAGGGUACCAGACUUUCACUCUGGGGGCGUCGGUUCGAAUCCGAUACAGGGAACCA